AGAAGUGUAAUAUUAUCACGAGGCAGGGUUCCCCAACCCCAAGAAGGAGAGGUUAGAAGUGUAAUAUUAUCAUGAGGCAGGGUUUCCCAACCCCAAGAACGAGAUGUUAGAAGUGUAAUAUUAUCAUAAGGCAGGGUUCCCCAACCCCAAGAAGGAGAGGUUAGAAGUGUAAUAUUAUCACGAGGCAGGGUUCCCCAACCCCAAGAACGAGAUGUUAGAAGUGUAAUAUUAUCAUGAGGCAGGGUUCCCCAAGAAGGAGAGGUUAGGAGAAGUGUAAUAUUAUCAUAAGGCAGGGUUCCCCAACCCCAAGAAGGAGAGGUUAGGAGAAGUGUAAUAUUAUCACGAGACAGGGUUCCCCAACUGGCAUCCCACAGGUGGUUUUAUUUGGCCCCCAAGUAAAAAGUUUAUCACCUCCAAACGAUUUAAUUAAAAAAAAAUCUGUUCCCAAGUAUUCCCCACGCAUAAUAGAGAGAAACGUCAUCGUAUACAAAUGUAAGCCAAGCUUGAAGUUGUUUGUCAAACAUCUG
ensembl:lncRNA